GACGAACCGUACGAGCGUUAUUCGGAAUCACUGGGCUUAAAGGGUGCGUAGGCGGCGCUGAAAGUUGGGUGUGAAAUCCCUCGGCUCAACCGAGGAACUGCAUUCAAAACUACAGUGCUUGAGGGAGACAGAGGUGAGCGGAACUUAGGGUGGAGCGGUGAAAUGCGUUGAUAUCCGAAGGAACACCCGUGGCGAAAGCGGCUCACUGGGUCGCUUCUGACGCUGAGGCACGAAAGCGAGGGGAGCGAACGGG
rnacentral:rRNA from 1 species